AUGGUGAAGAUCAUUCUCCUCCUCCUGGCACCCCUUGGCAUGGCCGCCGCAAGCACGGACUGCCCUGGCGUGCUGUCGCUGGACGGGUCUUCUGCCUGCGGCCAGUCGUGCGGCACGAAGCUCUUGCAAGAUCUCUGCAUCCAUGUGAUGGUCUGGGGCGGCGUCGACAUGUCCAGGUCGCAAAAGGAGGGGGGCACCGGGUACGUGAUCCUUGCCGCGCGGUUCGCCGUGGAAUCCAUGGACGCCACGCGGCUCGCCGCGAGGAACCAGCUCAGUCAGAACACCUCGCUCUCUGGCCAGGAGAGGGACGCCUACGAGGGGUGCCUGAACGACUACGCCGCGGCGAGAAGCUCUAUCAACCACGUCGCCAAAGAGAUGCUGCCUGGGGUUGCCGACGAGUUUGCACGUGGGGUGAAGAGCUUGGAGAGCUGCUGGAUCCGGCUGAUGCGGCCGCCUAAGUCGACGCCGCUGUAUGACUUGGUCUGGGCCGACCGAUACAAACUACUGCUGAUUCACAUGCUUGAUAGUAAACUACUAGGCAUAUGA
rnacentral:rRNA from 1 species